CCUAAGUUCGGUGUGAAAUCUCCCGGCUCAACUGGGAGGAUGCGCCGGAAACUGGGGUGCUCGAGUAUGGGAGAGGUAAGCGGAAUUCCUGGUGUAGCGGUGAAAUGCGUAGAUAUCAGGAGGAACACCUGUGGUGUAGACAGCUUGCUGGACCAUUACUGACGCUGAGACACGAAAGCGUGGGUAGCAAACAGG
rnacentral:rRNA from 1 species